rnacentral:rRNA from 1 species
CAAAAACAUGUCUUUUUGAUUAUAAUUUAAAGUCUAACCUGCCCAAUGAGGAGUUAAAUGGCCGCGGUAUUUUGACCGUGCAAAGGUAGCAUAAUCAUUAGUUUUUUAAUUGAAAGCUGGUAUGAAUGGUUGGACGAGAAAAUAACUGUCUCGAUUUAAAUUAAAUUAGAAUUUUAUUUAUGAGUAAAAAAGCUCAUAUGAGUUUAAAAGACGAGAAGACCCUAUAGAAUUUUAUAUAUGUAUAUAUAUAUUAUUUAUAGAAUUAAUAAUAAUUUAUAUAUAAUUAUAUUUUGUUGGGGUGAUAGAAAAAUUAAAUUAACUUUUUUUAUAUAAAAACAUUAAUGUAUGAGAAAAUGACCCGUUAAUUACGAUUAUAAGAUUAAAUUACCUUAGGGAUAACAGCGUAAUUUUUUUUUAGAGUUCUUAUCCAAAAAAGAGUUUGCGACCUCGAUGUUGGAUUAAAAUUAACUUUUGGUGUAGGGGCU